GAUGAACGCUGGCGGCGUGCCUAAUACAUGCAAGUCGAGCGAACAGACGAGGAGCUUGCUCCUUUGACGUUAGCGGCGGACGGGUGAGUAACACGUGGGUAACCUACCUAUAAGACUGGGAUAACUUCGGGAAACCGGAGCUAAUUCCGGAUAAUAUUUCGAACCGCAUGGUUCGAUAGUGAAAGAUGGCUUUGCUAUCACUUAUAGAUGGACCUGCGCCGUAUUAGCUAGUUGGUAAGGUAACGGCUUACCAAGGCAACGAUACGUAGCCGACCUGAGAGGGUGAUCGGCCACACUGGAACUGAGACACGGUCCAGACUCCUACGGGAGGCAGCAGUAGGGAAUCUUCCGCAAUGGGCGAAAGCCUGACGGAGCAACGCCGCGUGAGUGAUGAAGGUCUUCGGAUCGUAAAACUCUGUUAUUAGGGAAGAACAAACGUGUAAGUAACUGUGCACGUCUUGACGGUACCUAAUCAGAAAGCCACGGCUAACUACGUG
rnacentral:rRNA from 1 species